rnacentral:rRNA from 1 species
CGCAGUGACAGGUGGUGCAUGGCUGUCGUCAGCUCGUGUCGUGAGAUGUUGGGUUAAGUCCCGCAACGAGCGCAACCCACGUCGUUAGUUGCCAGCAUUCAGUUGGGCACUCUAGCGAGACCGCCGGUGAUAAACCGGAGGAAGGUGUGGAUGACGUCAAGUCAUCAUGCCCCUUACAUCCUGGGCUACACACGUACUACAAUGCUACGGACAAAGGGCCGCAAGCUCGCGAGAGUUAGCAAAUCCCAUAAACCGUGGCUCAGUUCAGAUCGUAGGCUGCAACUCGCCUACGUGAAGGAGGAAUCGCUAGUAAUCGCAGGUCAGCAUACUGCGGUGAAUACGUUCCCGGGCCUUGUACACACCGCCCGUCACACCAUGGAAGUGGCCACGCCCGAA